GAUGAACGCUAGCUACAGGCUUAACACAUGCAAGUCGAGGGGAAACGCCAUCGAAAGCUUGCUUUUGAUGGGCGUCGACCGGCGCACGGGUGAGUAACGCGUAUCCAACCUGCCCACCACUUGGGGAUAACCUUGCGAAAGUAAGACUAAUACCCAAUGAUAUCUCUAGAAGACAUCUGAAAGAGAUUAAAGAUUUAUCGGUGAUGGAUGGGGAUGCGUCUGAUUAGCUUGUUGGCGGGGUAACGGCCCACCAAGGCAACGAUCAGUAGGGGUUCUGAGAGGAAGGUCCCCCACAUUGGAACUGAGACACGGUCCAAACUCCUACGGGAGGCAGCAGUGAGGAAUAUUGGUCAAUGGACGAGAGUCUGAACCAGCCAAGUAGCGUGCAGGAAGACGGCCCUAUGGGUUGUAAACUGCUUUUAUAAGGGAAUAAAGUGAGUCUCGUGAGACUUUUUGCAUGUACCUUAUGAAUAAGGACCGGCUAAUUCCGUG
rnacentral:rRNA from 1 species